GAUGAACGCUGGCGGCGUGCCUAACACAUGCAAGUCGAACGGACAGAUUAAAACCUAGUGAUAUCUGUUAGUGGCGGACGGGUGAGUAACGCGUGGGUAACCUGCCUCACACUGGGGGAUAACAGUUAGAAAUGACUGCUAAUACCGCAUAAGCGCACAAUGUCGCAUGACAUAGUGUGAAAAACUCCGGUGGUGUGAGAUGGACCCGCGUCUGAUUAGCUAGUUGGUGGGGUAACGGCCUACCAAGGCAACGAUCAGUAGCCGGCCUGAGAGGUGACCGGCCACAUUGGGACUGAGACACGGCCCAAACUCCUACGGGAGCAGCAGUGGGGAAUAUUGCACAAUGGGGGGAAACCCUGAUGCAGCAACGCCGCGUGAUUGAAGAAGUAUUUCGGUAUGUAAAGAUCUAUCAGC
rnacentral:rRNA from 1 species